GGACUCGUCGAGUAGGGCUCUAGC
rnacentral:miRNA from 1 species